AUUGAACGCUGGCGGCAGGCCUAACACAUGCAAGUCGAGCGAGCGGCGGACGGGUGAGUAAUGUAUGGGGACUGCCCGAUAGAGGGGGAUAACUACUGGAAACGGUGGCUAAUACCGCAUACUAUCGGAUAACCCAUAGGGGAUUAGCUAGUAGGUGGGGUAAAGGCACACCUAGGCGACGAUCUCUAGCUGGUCUGAGAGGAUGAUCGGCCACACUGGGACUGAGACAGGGCCCGGACUCCUACGGAGGCAGCAGUGGGGAAAAUGGCACAGUGGGGGCAGGCCUGGUGCAGCCAGGCCGCGGGUAUGAAGAGGGCCUUAGGGUUGUAAAGUACUUUCAGCGGGGAGGCGUAACCGGCAGAGGAAGCACCGGCUAACUCCGUGCCAGCGGCCGCGGGAAUA
rnacentral:rRNA from 1 species